rnacentral:rRNA from 1 species
AGAGUUUGAUCCUGGCUCAGAAUGAACGCUGGCGGCGUGCCUAACACAUGCAAGUCGGAUGUGCCCGCAAGGGUGCAUGGCAGACGGGUGAGUAACGCGUGGGGAAUCUACCUUUUAGUGGGGAAUAACGCUCCGAAAGGAGUGGUAAUACCGCAUGUGACCAUUCGCUGGGAUGCGGAUGGUGAAACCCUGGGACCUUCGGGCCAGGGGCUAAAAGAGGAUCCUGCGUCUGAUUAGCUAGUUGGUGAGGUAAUGGCUCACCAAGGCGACGAUCAGUAGCUGGUCUGAGAGGAUGGCCAGCCUCACUGGGACUGAGACACGGCCCAGACUCCUACGGGAGGCAGCAGUGGGGAAUAUUGGACAAUGGGCGAAAGCCUGAUCCAGCCAUGCCGCGUGAGUGAUGAAGGCCUUAGGGUUGUAAAGCUCUUUCAGUAGGGAAGAUAAUGACGGUACCUACAGAAGAAGCCCCGGCUAACUUCGUGCCAGCCGCCGCGGUAAUAC